CAACUUUUGACAAUGGAUCUCUUGGUUCUCGCACGAUCAAA
rnacentral:rRNA from 1 species